AUUGCCUGCCCAGUGACUUCUAAGUUAAACGGCCGCGGUAUUCUGACCGUGCAAAGGUAGCAUAAUCAUUUGUUCCCCAAUUAGGGACUAGUAUGAAUGGCUAGACGAGGAUUCAACUGUCUCUUAUUCCCAAUCAGUGAAAUUGACCUUCCAGUGAAGAGGCUGGAAUAAAACAAUAAGACGAGAAGACCCUAUGGAGCUUUAAUUAACUAGCCUAAUUAUAAUACUAAAACNCUNAUGGAACAAAAACAUAAACAUUAAGCUAACAAUUUUGGUUGGGGUGACCUCGGAGAACAAAAAACCCUCCGAAUGAUUAUAGCACAGACAAACAAGUCAAAGCAAUCCACUAUAUCCAAUUGACCCAAAAACACUUUGACCAACGGACCAAGUUACCCUAGGGAUAACAGCGCAAUCCUAUUUAAGAGUCCAUAUCGACAAUUAGGGUUUACGACCUCGAUGUUGGAUCAGGACACCCCAAUGGUGCAGAAGCUAUUAAAGGUUCGUUUG
rnacentral:rRNA from 1 species